GAUGGAGUAGUGGAUCCACCCAAAACUCUCAAUCUAUAUAUGAGAGAGACAAGAAACCCUUUGCUCAUAAACAAAAAUAGAAGAGAAGAAACCCCUCAUUCCCUCAAUGUUGUCUAAGAAUUAGGUCGAAUCGCGCCGCCAUAUUUUGGGUAAGAAUUUCUUACCAUUUCUUCGUUUAAUUCAUUUACUUUUGCCAUUGCUUCCCUACAUUAUUAAUAUUUAUCAUUCAUCUCUGCUACUUUUUGAUUUAAUGUUUGAUAAUAUCAACCCAAAUUAGACAGUAUUUUGCCAAAUCCCAGAUCUUAUUUUAAAUGUAUCCUCUAUUUAAAAUAGGUGAGAAUGAAGCCACGCCCUUCUGUAAUUAAUUUCACGAAUUUUUUUAUUGUUGUGGUCAAGAUGAAGCAAUACUCUGUUGCCCUUCAUCUGUUCGACCAAAUGCUUCAAAGGUAUGCUCCCAUAUAUCUCUACACCUUGAGUGUUGCGAUUGAUUGCUUUUGUCGACUGAAAAGAGGUGAUUUGGGGUUUACAAUCGUAAGCAGGUUUUGCAAGAAUGUAUACGAGCCUACUCACAGGGCUUUUGUUGGUUGGAAAGAUCUGCGAGGCAACAAUACUAAUGAAGAAGUUGGUGGUUGAGGAACUGUGUGAACCUAAUGAAGUUACUUAUCUUACUAUGAUUAAUGGGAUAUGCAUAGUUUAGAGAUUUGCGUUAUUAUUAAAAAAGAAAUGUGCAAACCCAAUGUCUAUGCUUAUGCCCAGUGAAUCAUUGUCUGUGCAAUGAUAGAAUGGUUGACGAUCUCCAACUUAGUUGAUGAAAGGAUUGAAUGGUUGACGAUCUCCAACUCUUCUCCACUUUGGGUGAUAAUGGCAUUUCCCUUUGUGUUUAGAUAUAUAUUUCGAUAAUUCAGGGGUUAUGCAAUAUUAUGAUAAUUUGGGGUUGAUGAGGAUCACGUAGUGCCAUUGACCACGCUGCAUUGACUCUGGAGAAGAAUAUUCCUGAUGAUUGAUUGUGCAACAUAUGAUAUAUUUUUACGCAUGCAUUUGAAGGAAUAAAUAUAAUGUGUCCCACUUUCUGAGGCUCACGCGAAGAUGGAGAUACAACGUCACAUCUAGGAGAUUCAGGCCACACAAGGAGGGAUGCGACUCCAAAAUACAUUAAAGCUUUAAGGAGAUUGUGACUGGGUUUCAUAAAAUCUAUUCAACGUGGUUACAUCAAAGCAUACUUUCCAGGCCUAUAUAGAGAUUAUUGAUGAUUGAAGUUUAUUUCAAUUAGUUUGUGGUAAGCGUUUGUUUAAUUAGUUUUAUAACAUUAUUAUAAUAUUAUUGUUAUGUGAAAAAUUAGCAUCAUGUGAAAUAUGCGGAAUGCAUUUUAAUGGGACUCAUGUGUGUACUCUAGAGAUAUGAUUUACGCGGCAUGGAUCGGGAUGGCUAGGACUAUAUAUAGAGACUUUCUAAACUCGACGAAGAAGCUCGUCAAAGACACCAACAUAUCCCAAACAAAAUGUUGAAGAGGCUUGGAAAGCAUAUUGGAAUAUUCAUGAAGUUAGGCGCGGAUCGAGCAAGCUAGCAAGAAUUGUCGUUUUGAGCCUGGUGGUCCCAUCUAUUGUAUAUUUGUAUAUGUGUCUUUGGUUUUGACAAUGUGAAUUUUGGAUUCUUAUUGGAUGAUUUAUGAAGUAGAAAGUCGAAAAUGA